UACGAAGGGGGCUAGUGUUGUUCGGAAUUACUGGGCGUAAAGCGCGCGCAGGCGGCUCUUCAAGUCAGGGGUGAAAGCCCAGAGCUCAACUCUGGAACUGCCUUUGAGACUGAAGAGCUUGAGUACGGGAGAGGUGAGUGGAAUUCCCAGUGUAGAGGUGAAAUUCGUAGAUAUUGGGAAGAACACCGGUGGCGAAGGCGGCUCACUGGCCCGUUACUGACGCUCAGGCGCGACAGCGUGGGGAUCAAACAGG
rnacentral:rRNA from 1 species